UCAAAGAACCAUUUUCUUUGAGAUUUUUCUUGAACAAGUGAGAAGAUGAACAGUGGAUGAUGGGUGGCUUGGGUAGUGAAUCCGGCUUGGUCAAAAUAGUUUGAAGCUUAUAAUUGUUGUAUCUACAACUGGGUUUACUCUUAUGAAGUGUUGGAAGGACGAUUUGAAGUAUGAGGGUUUGAGAAACUCUUUAAGAGACUAGGGCCGUGCUCAAGAAUGUUCUUGAAAGGAAAUUGAAGAUUUGUGUUUACUAAGGUAAGGGCUUUAAUAGCAUUGUAAAUUUGAAUUUGAGAUUUAAUGUGGGAGCUAAUAUGAGAUUAUUCCAGGUAUAUGAGCUACUGGAACUUUUGUUGAAGUUGGAGAUUUGGUGGAAAUACGCACGGCGAAUCCGGUGAAUUAAAAAAAAUCAUCAAGGAGGCAAGGAAAGUAAUAAAGCUUUCAAGGAUAUAGCUCAUCCAGUAGAGCCAGGUCUGCCUACAGCCAGAUAGACUUUCAACCUCCUUAUUCUGGUGAGCCUAGCACAUAUAGUGCGGGUGUGAUUAUAUAUUAUUUUGGACUCAUGUAUUACCGUUAUUUUAUCGUCUCUAGAUGCUCUGUUAACUAUAGAUAAGAUAUAAUGAUAUGUAAGGCCAUGGGCCAGACGGACGGUGUUGUAGUUAUUUCCAUGUCACGUAUAUUUUGUUUCUUUGAUUAUAAUAUUGCCA